rnacentral:rRNA from 1 species
UGAGUCUUACGAGUUUCACUCCCAACCCAAUCGUGAAACCAUACCAAACUGUUGCCUCGGCGGGGUCACGCCCCGGGUGCGUCGCAGCCCCGGAACCAGGCGCCCGCCGGAGGGACCAACCAAACUCUUUACUGUAGUCCCCUCGCGGACGUUAUUUCUUACAGCUCUGAGCAAAAAAUUCAAAAUGAAUCAAAACUUUCAACAACGGAUCUCUUGGUUCUGGCAUCGAUGAAGAACGCAGCGAAAUGCGAUAAGUAAUGUGAAUUGCAGAAUUCAGUGAAUCAUCGAAUCUUUGAACGCACAUUGCGCCCGCCAGUAUUCUGGCGGGCAUGCCUGUCCGAGCGUCAUUUCAACCCUCGAACCCCUCCGGGGGGUCGGCGUUGGGGAUCGGGAACCCCUCAGACGGGAUCCCGGCCCCGAAAUACAGUGGCGGUCUCGCCGCAGCCUCUCCUGCGCAGUAGUUUGCACAACUCGCACCGGGAGCGCGGCGCGUCCACGUCCGUAAAACACCCAACUUUCUGAAAUGUUGACCUCGGAUCAGGUAGGAAUACCCGCUGAAC